UACGAAGGGGGCUAGCGUUGUUCGGAAUUACUGGGCGUAAAGGGCGCGUAGGCGGUGUGUCAAGUCAGGCGUGAAAGCCCCGGGCUCAACCUGGGAACCGCGCUUGAGACUGGCACGCUCGAGUUCGGGAGGAGGAUGGUGGAAUUCCCAGUGUAGAGGUGAAAUUCGUAGAUAUUGGGAAGAACACCGAUGGCGAAGGCAGCCAUCUGGACCGACACUGACGCUGAGGCGGCGAAAGCGUGGGGAGCAAACAGGG
rnacentral:rRNA from 1 species